rnacentral:lncRNA from 1 species
GCUGCUGAAGUUAGUAUUGUAAUGGUGAAUCGAGAUUUUUAAUGAAGUGGGUUUGAAUACUCUUGACUGUUUUGUGAAAUCGAGUUACGUCUGUGAUUGAAGGAUUAAAAGGGUGUCUAUAGGAUUGAGUAUGCGGAGUGAAUGAAAUUUAUUGGGUUAAUCUAACAAGACAGUCAGUGGAUACAAGAUCGUAAGUACAAAGCAAUAUUGAAGAUUAACAGUUUG